rnacentral:rRNA from 1 species
UACGUAGGCAGCAAGCGUUGUUCGGAGUUACUGGGCGUAAAGGGUGCGUAGGCGGUCCUGUAAGUAUGGUGUGAAAUCUCCCGGCUUAACUGGGAGGGUGCGCUAUAAACUGCGGGACUAGAGUGUGGGAGAGGAAAGUGGAAUUCCUGGUGUAGCGGUGAAAUGCGUAGAUAUCAGGAGGAACACCAGUGGCGAAGGCGAGUCUCUGGACAUUUCCUGACGCUGAGGCACGAAAGCCAGGGGAGCAAACGGG